GUCUACAGCCGUGCUACCCUGAACAAACCCGAUCCCAUCUCAUCUUGGAAGCAAAGCAGAGUCAGGUCUGGUUAGUACUUGGAUGGGAGACCAUCUAGGAAGACCAGGUGCUAUAGGUG
rnacentral:rRNA from 1 species